rnacentral:rRNA from 1 species
GUCCCAAGGGUUGGGCUGUUCGCCCAUUAAAGCGGUACGUGAGCUGGGUUCAGAACGUCGCGAGACAGUUCGGUCCCUAUCUGGUGUGGGCGCAGGAGAUUUGCGGGGAGCUGUCCCUAGUACGAGAGGACCAGGAUGGACGGACCUCUGGUGUUUCAGCUGUCACGCCAGUGGCACGGCUGGGUAGCCAAGUCCGGUUGAGAUAAACGCUGAAGGCAUCUAAGCGUGAAGCUCGCCCCAAGAUGAGAUCUCCCAAUCCCUCAGGGGUAAGAAGGGCGCAGGUAGACGACCUGCUUGAUAGGCCGGAAGUGUAAGCGUGGCGACACGUUCAGCUGACCGGUACUAAUCGCCCGUUCGGCUUGACCAUAAAA